CCCUUAGAUGUUCUGGGCCGCACGCGCGCUACACUGACGAUGGCAACGAGUUUUUCCUUCGCCGAAAGGUGUGGGUAAUCUUUUGAAACAUCGUCGUGCUGGGGAUAGAUCAUUGCAAUUUUUGAUCUUGAACGAGGAAUUCCUAGUAAGCGCGAGUCAUCAGCUCGCGUUGAUUACGUCCCUGCCCUUUGUACACACCGCCCGUCGCUACUACCGAUUGAAUGGUUUAGUGAGGACUCCUGAUUGGCGCCGCCGCCCCGGCAACGGAGCAGCGGACUGCCGAAAAGUUGUUCAAACUUGAUCAUUUAGAAGAAGUAAAAGUCGUAACA
rnacentral:rRNA from 1 species